CUAUAUUAACCUGAUAUACAGGGUGUCCUAUAUCAUACAGGGUGUCCUAUAUUAUACAGGGUGUCCUAUAUUAACCUAAUAUACAGGGUGUCCUAUAUUAUACAGGGUGUCCUAUAUUAACCUAAUAUACAGGGUGUCCUAUAUUAUACAGGGUGUCCUAUAUUAACCUCAUAUACAGGGUGUCCUAUAUUAUACAGGGUGUCCUAUAUUAACCUCAUAUACAGGGUGUCUUAUAUUACCUUAAUAUACAGGGUGUCCUAUAUUAACCUGGUAUACAGGGUGUCCUAUAUUAUACAGGGUGUCCUAUAUUAUACAGGGUGUCCUAUAUUAACCUCAUAUACAGGGUGUCUUAUAUUACCUUAAUAUACAGGGUGUCCUAUAUUAACCUGAUAUACAGGGUGUCCUAUAUCAUACAGGGUGUCCUAUAUUAUACAGGGUGUCCUAUAUUAACCUAAUAUACAGGGUGUCCUAUAUUAUACAGGGUGUCCUAUAUUAACCUAAUAUACAGGGUGUCCUAUAUUAUACAGGGUGUCCUAUAUUAACCUCAUAUACAGGGUGUCCUAUAUUAACCUAAUAUACAGGUAAUUGUCCCCAUGUUGGAGGUAAUUGUCGUGCGAGAGCAACGCUGCUGGUCUUCAUCACUCUCCUGUGAUACAAGGUCACUUUGUGGCGGCUUCAUCUUGUCCCUCAUUUGCAUACGUUUCACCUGUAGGGCGGGGCUGGGAGGGAGGGGAGGAGCACAGCUGGACAAACAGCCACUCAGCCCUCCCCCGCCAGAAUGCAACCAUCUGUGCACCGGCUGACCCCCUCCCACCCCCGCAUGCUAAGGUAUAGCAACUUUAUGCGAAUGCUAAUGAGCGACGGGCGACUUUUCCUCAAAUGCCUUUUUAAUCCUUCAAGUUGCCCGCGAGCAAGGAGUCCACAAAUCAUGGCCGUGCUGUGGCUUUACCACGGAUGGAGGAGUCAAUACGCCCAUAAAAGACGUCCUCGGGCCAAUAUGCAUGAGCUCAUGCCAAAAAUGAUAAUCAGCGUCUGGCCAGGAAUCAUCCCAACAGUCCUGGGACUCCAUUUCAUUUCCGCACAUUGACAGUGAAAAGUCAGGAGCGUGACAUCACCGCCUCCACCCCCGCCCCCACCCCCAGCGUGCCGGGUACCUUCUUGUCGCUCAGGCCGGACACGGUGUCGAUGUACUGCUCCUGGAUCAUGAAGGCUGCCAGGUUGGCCGUGUAGGAUGCCAGGAAGAUGACGGCGAAGAAGGCCCACACCAGGACCAUGAUCUUGCUGGUGGUUCCUUUGGGGUUCUCGAUGGGCACCGAGUUGUUGAAGACGAUUCCCCACAGCAGCCAUACCGACUUCCCGAUAGUGAAGGUGGGACCGCCGGGAUCUGUGGAGGAGAUGGGGAGAUGAUGACCUUGGAUCUGAAGCCCCGCCCCUAAGCUUAACCAGGCCUCCAACCAUGCAUUGUUGUUUUCUUAUAGCGUCACAACACUGUUACAUUAAAUUACAAUUAUAUAUUCACUUAAUUGAAAUAUUUAAUGUAAUAUAUGUAAUAUGUAAUGUGUUUUAAACCACCCUUAUAUUCAUCUACAAUAAUGUUUAAUCUCCAAGGUGAGACGAAUUGAACUUUUGCACCGAGGAAGAGGAUGCGGUCACCUUUAGCCGUCACCAGGCUGCGGUUGUAGCCGACAGGACUGCAGUAUUCAAAGACAAACACAGUGAUGGCCACCACGGUGAGACACAUGACGAACAUCAUCACCCAGACCGCCGGACUGUAGGGCUCUGCAAUCACACACACAGGACAAAGCCCCACCCACAGGUGUAGAUCAGCCAGCAGUACCCGUGAGUCACUGUCAGGAACGACUCCCCGAGAUCGGAACGACUCGUUCAUGACUCGCACAUAUCGAUUCGACACAGGUAUGUAUUGUGUCUCAUCAGGUUUGUUUGCUUUUGCGUAAAAUGAGCUGCUAAAUGUAAAGUUACCUUAGCCGAGACAUUUGACAGCGUUUUCUUGUUUACUGCGGUAAAGACGACGUUGCCUUUUUACAGUUUAAGUCGAAUUAUGUGCACAACAAAGCAAGGUUUGUGUACCUGUUACUAACUGUUAGCUUGGAAGCUAAGUAGAAGACGACAACAUGGAGCAGAAUACUUAUGGAUGUUUUACCAACGUCUGGGCGAGUAUGCAUCAUAAAAGUUAUUCUGUUAUGUGAACAUUUACACAUCAGUUUACUUUCUAUGCUGCUGCAGUUGGAGAGCAACACCGGUGGCAAACAAGGCUGAUGUCUUAACGACGUGUCUUCCUGGGACUCCUCAUUGCUCCUCACUGAACGCUACCUCCACGCAGAAGCACCAAAAGCGCCAGGGCUUGGGGAAGGACAACCUCACGACCUUCAGGAAUGACGGAAGAUGGCGCCCCCCCCCCCCCCCCCUUCUCAGCGUCUUGGUCAACGGGAGUGUCCACUAACGGGCUUUGGAACCGCGUCCACCAGUCAGUCCACCAAAGGAUGCAUAAAGAUGAAGAUGAAGACGAGGACCAGUCAUGUGACACGGCGCAGGUCUGUUUCUCUUCAUGGUGUAGGCUAGCAGUUAUUUACAUGCUAACAACCGCGAUGAGCCGACUUUGAAACUUUGUAGGAUUACUUUGUAAACAAAGCGAGCGCAGGCAAACAGGAGCAACCUGAUUGGUCCCUGCAGUCACAUGACUUGCAUGACAAAUCAGGGUCAACCUCCCGUGUAACGCUGCAUAGUGCCUCCGGGGGCAGUAGUGAGGCGCUAGCUAACGCUGUAGCUGUUUGUUGUGUGCUGAGGUACGUCUGUGAGUGGCGCUAGCGUUGGCUGAUGACUGAUGUCAGUGUUUGGAUGAAGAUGUUUUGAAAUUCCAUAUCAUGUUUGAGGCUUUUUUUUGGCAGCAGUCCUUGAAAGCAGCUGCGUCUGAGCGGACAUGUUGAUGGAUCAUCUUCCAUGACCAUCGCUCGCUGGUGGCUAGCGGCCAUGUUAGGCAUGAAAACAGUCAUCUUUCUGGGCGUCUGAAUCCCUCAUUCGGGGGUGGAGCUGGAAGGUCACCUCGUGAAAAGCGGGCAUCUGCGGUAUUGUCAAUGAUUUAUUUUUUAUAGCAAUUUUGCCAAAUAUUAUAUUUGUGUAUGUAUAUACAUGUGUGUAUACACAUGUAGAAAUAUACGUCAAUGUGUAUAAAAAUAUGUGUGUGCAGUUAACUGUAUAGUGGAUGUGUAUAUGUAUGUAUAUACAUACAGUAUG